rnacentral:rRNA from 1 species
UACGAAGGGGGCUAGCGUUGCUCGGAAUCACUGGGCGUAAAGGGUGCGUAGGCGGGUUAUUAAGUCAGAGGUGAAAUCCUGGAGCUCAACUCCAGAACUGCCUUUGAUACUGAUAGUCUCGAGUAUGGGAGAGGUGAGUGGAACUGCGAGUGUAGAGGUGAAAUUCGUAGAUAUUCGCAAGAACACCAGUGGCGAAGGCGGCUCACUGGCCCAUUACUGACGCUGAGGCACGAAAGCGUGGGAGCAA